rnacentral:rRNA from 1 species
UACGACCUCAACUCAAGCAAGGCU